GACGAACGCUGGCGGCGUGCCUAAUACAUGCAAGUAGAACGCACAGUUUAUACCGUAGCUUGCUACACCAUAAACUGUGAGUUGCGAACGGGUGAGUAACGCGUAGGUAACCUGCCUGGUAGCGGGGGAUAACUAUUGGAAACGAUAGCUAAUACCGCAUAAUAUUAAUUAUUGCAUGAUAAUUGAUUGAAAGAUGCAAUUGCAUCACUACCAGAUGGGCCUGCGUUGUAUUAGCUAGUAGGUGAGGUAACGGCUCACCUAGGCGACGAUACAUAGCCGACCUGAGAGGGUGAUCGGCCACACUGGGACUGAGACACGGCCCAGACUCCUACGGGAGGCAGCAGUAGGGAAUCUUCGGCAAUGGACGAAAGUCUGACCGAGCAACGCCGCGUGAGUGAAGAAGGUUUUCGGAUCGUAAAGCUCUGUUGUAAGAGAAGAACGGGUGUGAGAGUGGAAAGUUCACACUGGGACGGUAUCUUACCAGAAAAGGACGGCUAACUACGU
rnacentral:rRNA from 1 species